ACUGGGUCUAAUACUGGAUAGGACCGCAUGCUGCAUGGUGUGUGGUGGAAAGCUUUUGCGGUGUGGGAUGGGCCCGCGGCCUAUCAGCUUGUUGGUGGGGUGAUGGCCUACCAAGGCGACGACGGGUAGCCGGCCUGAGAGGGUGUCUGGCCACACUGGGACUGAGAUACGGCCCAGACUCCUACGGGAGGCAGCAGUGGGGAAUAUUGCACAAUGGGCGCAAGCCUGAUGCAGCGACGCCGCGUGGGGGAUGACGGCCUUCGGGUUGUAAACCUCUUUCACCAUCGACGAAGCCUUAAUCGGUGACGGUAGGUGGAGAAGAGGCACCGGCCAACUACGUGCCAGCAGCCGCGGUAAUACGUAGGGUGCGAGCGUUGUCCGGAAUUACUGGGCGUAAAGAGCUCGUAGGUGGUUUGUCGCGUUGUUCGUGAAAUCCCGCAGCUUAACUGCGGGCGUGCGGGCGAUACGGGCA
rnacentral:rRNA from 1 species